CCGAGCUCCUGCCCUCCGGGUAGAGACGCCACCCUUGUGUACCAGACCGCUGUUGCUUUGGCGGGCCCAGCCCGCCAGAGACCCCAAACCCUGAGUGUGCGUGUCGUCGGAGUACUAUUCAAUAGUUA
rnacentral:misc_RNA from 1 species